AUGGGAACAUUGGUUACCAUGGGCAGAAUAGUGGUACAAUACCACUUAUCAUUCGGAAACCAAACAAAGAGCGUUUGAAGUGGUAUAUAGGCGCCAACCACCUCUAAUUAGGUCCUAUACUCAUUAGUCCGACAAAGUGCAUCAAGUUGAUUGCGACUUACGCUAGGGAUUGUGUUUGCAACUUUGAAAGGAGCUCACUAUCAGGACGGACGGGUAUAAGCGAUUAGCGAUAAGCUAUAGUUUUUCAAAAAACUAGAACCAUACCGCUUUGAACAGAGUCUCCCUUAGUCCGACAAAGUGCAUCAUGUUGAUUGCGACUUACGCUAAGGAUUGUGUUUGCAACUCUGAAAGGAGCUCACUAUCAGGACGGACGGGUAUAAGCGAUUAGCAAUAAGCUAUAGUUUUUCAAAAAACUAGAACCAUACCGCUUUGAACAGAGUCUCCCUCUUUGACUAGUGCUACCUCCGGUGAAAGGAAUGAAGAUCUUGCAUAUAGGCAACCGACUGACGUAUACAAACAGAAAAAAUAAGCAACUAAAAAAGCGAGUGGGUUGACGAAUUGUGUUACCUCCGGUGGAAGGAAUGAAGAUCUUGCAUAUAGGCAACCGACUGACGUAUACAAACAGAAUAAUAAGCAACUAAAAAAGCGAGUGGGUUGACGAAUCGUUGCUUUACACAGAUAGCUAAUAUUACUUGAGUUGUAAGUAAAAAAAAGGCUAACCAGCUUUUGUCAAGGAAGCACAACAAAAGAAUAGUAAUAGGUAGAAGUAGUGGUAAGAAGGCCCAUCUCAAGUGAAAUAAAUAACAAUAGCAUUCAGUUGUCUUCACAACGGGGCAACAACCCUUAUUUUGCCAACUGAGGCCGCGAGCUCUAAUGUUUUUUUUGUUGGGACCACCAGAUUGAAGGAAACCUCAUGCAUGCUUUGUCACCUCUGCACUAUCUCGACAGGCCGCGAGCUUUAAUGUUUUUUUGUUGGGACCACCAGAUUGAAGGAAACCUCAUGCAUGCUUUGUCACCUCUGAACUAUCUCGAUUAAUCGCCUUUUGCGCAUGCAUACAGAUGUAUCCUUGUUUUAUAUGUCACUCGAUGACUUGAGUGGAGCUUUCCCUUUCUGUUCCGUCUGUGCUUUCCUCUCCUUCUUUGCCUUCUUUGAAUAAAAAAGCCAGGAAGUCAGCCAGUCUGUUCUUAAUAAGGGUAAGCCAGUACGGUAAUCCUUCUUUCUAAGAGUCCUCAGCCCUAGGGUCCUCGUAGUCCAUUAGGAAGAGGGGGAACCGAAGCUCUAUGUCCUUGAAGAGAUGAUAAAAGAGAGAAAUACCGCUUUACGAGAUGAAAAAGACCGCUAGGCGAGUCUGAGAAGGAAUGAAUAGGUCCAGGGUUCUUCCUAUCUUUAUGAGAUGAAAAAGACCGCUAGGCGAGUCUGAGAAUGAAUGAAUAGGUCCAGGGUUCUUCCUACAUCAAUUGGUUGGAAAGGCGAAAUCACGUACUUCUGAGGAGGUCUGGCUGACAGAGCUUGGUUUUUCUUCCUUGACUCGAGACCUCUUUCACUGAGAACUAAUUCAAUGUCUUUACGCAGGUGAGCA
rnacentral:lncRNA from 1 species